UGAUAUUGGAUCGAUGCGAUC
rnacentral:miRNA from 1 species